GAUAGCACCGCUUAUAUUUUCACGCGGUGGAAGAUAAAUUAAACGUAUAUGAUUCGGUUACAUGUUGUCGUUGUUGUUGUUGUUUUGGUCUUUCCAGGAUGUCAGCUGUACGGCCACCAUAGUCAAAAACAGGAGAGUCCCGAGAGAGGGGAAAAUGGAGCGGGAAACUGAAGAAGGAACUAUCCCGGGUCCAAAAGGGCUAAAAUCCCAGCCACCGGCGGGUUUGAAAUCUCGGGGAUGCACGGAUUGGCCAGGGAGGCUGUGGAGCAGCCUGUCUUUCUGGAAGAGCCCCUGGGUGAAAGGUCAAACCCCUUGUGGAACAGUUUUCUCCCUUGUGUGAUACACCAGCUGGACGUUCGGUGAAAACUUUGGUUUGAAAAGUGAAAGUUUUCUAGCCGACUUGUAGGCUAUAUCCAGGUUAAAAACCUGAGCUAACAUCUCUCAACCUAGAUUUCCACCCCUCUAGACGUCUAAAUUCCGUCUAGGUACCAUCUAGAUUUGGGUAUUCGGCGAUACGUCUGACGCAGGCCUGCUGCAGGUUUCAGGGCCCAGUCCAGCGUUCCCUGUUCUCCGACACCAGCGUCCCUUCCGCACAGAUCUCACUUAAAAUGUCGUGAGAAGUUGAGAGUUAAAUCCCAGUUUUGCGAGGGGGCCGAAGCAGGCGUGAAUGUGAAAUCUGCUCUAACGCUCGUUCUACGCUCGGCUGUCCUCAGAAACCGUUAUUUCAGAGCCUUUCCUGUGGCACGUGAUUUAAAAAAAAAAAAAAAAGCGCUGCAGCUAAAGUGCAUGCGGCCGUCUGAAAGUCUAUCGACCAUGCGAGCGAGUGCCCUUCUUAAUGACCUUUGUUUUAUGAUUUAAUGAACCCAGUCCCUUUUAAGCGUUUCCCUUUUGUAGGGCAGCGCAAUCUCAAUCAUACAGUAAGUGCUUGCUUGCAUCUGGUUGACAUGUGAAGCUGAAGCUUCUGAGCCACAGAAACACAUACUGUGCAUGGCAACAUGCACUUUGUGUAAUCGGACCUUUGCAUCCACAAUCAAAAAGGAUAUAUAUGUUCUUCCUCUGUUGUAGACCAGGCUCAAAUACAUAUUAUAAUAACCAACUCUUUAGAUGGCGGUAAAACCUUCAAAAAUUCCUGCUGAUCCGUGAGAAGUUUAAUUAAAACAAGGGCUUAAUCGAAACUAAAUUUUGUUAUCAGUACUGGUGAAAACAGAUGUUUCUUUCUUUAAAAAAAAUUUUUUUUUUAAAGAUUUAAUCUGCAGAAAUGUUGAAGGUGUCUAAAUGUUUUAAAAGUAUUUGGGUAAAUAUUUGACCCAGGUGUAGUCAGAAGCCAAAAAUGUUUCCAGUUUUAACCAUUCAGUUACAAGCCCAGUUCUACAUCCAUUACUCCACAAAAGUGAACUUGACCCUAAAAUUUAUUUUUGAAUGGUAAAUUAUUCUGUCCACUGAGUAUAUUGUCACAGAUAAUAACAUUUACAACACACCUGUCUUCUAGACAAACUCACUCUGACUGACAGUGGAGUAGAGAGUUUGUGAUUGGACCUAUGAUUCCAUGUAACUUUAUAUAGAUAUUUAUAUAAGCGCCGUUUGCCAGGAUAUAUCUGGUUUGUAAUGACUCUGUUGCUCUGGGAAAGCUUAAUGUCCUUCUACAUAAAGAAAUCCCGCUGCAAUCUCCUUCCUAAUAAAGGAGUUAUCAUUGCUUUUUGCAGGAGCAGAAUAGCUCUGUGACAAGCAGAUUAUAACCAGCGAUCCUCAGGACUUAGGCUACAGGAUCUAAUUGGCUACACAAUCCCUUGCAUUCCACGUCCAGCUCACAGCUUGUCACUGCACAAGAGAGAUGAGCUCUCCAUUGGCCUACCUGUUGGAGUAAAGUUAAAAUUAAAUGAAUGUAAUAAGCCUGAAUCCAUAGCGAUGGGAGGAAGAUAAAGCUGUUUUUGAAAACCACUCUCAAGCCAACGGUGUCUGACGAACUGAACUGACGUUACUACAAAGCAACCUUUCAAAGAGAUAUUUCUUAGAAUUAAAUUUCCUUGCUGCUGUUUUACAGUAUAAUUGAAGAU